rnacentral:rRNA from 1 species
ACUGUCAUGGCGCAGCCUGAUGCAGCCAUGCCGCGUGUAUGAAGAAGGCCUUCGGGUUGUAAAGUACUUUCAGCGGGGAGGAAGGGAGUAAAGUUAAUACCUUUGCUCAUUGACGUUACCCGCAGAAGAAGCACCGGCUAACUCCGUG